rnacentral:rRNA from 1 species
GAGUUUGAUCGUGGCUCAGAUUGAACGCUGGCGGCAGGCUUAACACAUGCAAGUCGAGCGGAAACGAUGUAGCUUGCUACAGGCGUCGAGCGGCGGACGGGUGAGUAACGCGUAGGAAUCUGCCUAGUAGUGGGGGACAACAUGUGGAAACGCAUGCUAAUACCGCAUACGCCCUACGGGGGAAGGAGGGGAGUCUUCGGACCUUUCGCUAUUAGAUGAGCCUGCGUAAGAUUAGCUAGUUGGUAGGGUAAAGGCCUACCAAGGCGACGAUCUUUAACUGGUCUGAGAGGAUGGCCAGUCACACUGGGACUGAGACACGGCCCAGACUCCUACGGGAGGCAGCAGUGGGGAAUAUUGGACAAUGGGCGCAAGCCUGAUCCAGCCAUGCCGCGUGUGUGAAGAAGGCCUUAGGGUUGUAAAGCACUUUCAGGGGUGAGGAAGGUGUUUGGUUAAUAUCCAAACAUUUGUACGUUAGUCCCACGAAGAAGCACCGGCUAACUCUGUGCCA